rnacentral:tRNA from 1 species
AGGGAUGUAGCUCAGUGGGAAAGUGCUUGCCCAGCAAGCAUGAGGCCCUGGGUUCAACCCCCAGUACCACAA